GAGGUGGGAGGAUUGCUUGAGCUCAGGAGGUCAAGGCUAUGGUGAGCUAUGAUCAUACCACUGCACUCCAGCCUGAGCAACAGAGCAAGACCCUGUCU
rnacentral:miRNA from 1 species